UUAUCUUUCCUUUGUUCAUGUUUCUGGGAGGACUCGAAGGAGGAGGAGGAGGAGGAGGAGGAGGAGGACCCUUAGAUAUUGUUGAGUAUGCUGAUGGUGCCAGAAUGCGCGAACUAACCUUUGGGGAGGGGAAUAAAAAAUUUAAAAAAACAAAAACGUAAAAAGUUAGUGCGGAUUCAGAGAAAGGAAAACAUUGCUGUAUUUAAACACGUUGUUGCAAGAAUAUGAGUCGUUCCCUAUAUGGGUGACUCGUUGUGCCCGAGAUAGGCCUAGCAAUAGAUACGAUUGGAGAACUUAUGACACCAAGUGCCUCAUUUUCGAUAGAAAAUAGAACGAGUCAAAACAAACUGAAAUAAAGAGAAAUUGUCACUAAUGGUCAAUGGCCUUAUUAUAUCAAGAAAGCAGUAAAAAUCCUAACUACUUGGUCCCGGAAGGACCUUCCCCAGAUUCAGUAUCUUUGCCUCCCUCGUGCAGUUUCAUCAACUCGCGCAGACCCAGAAACAAGUAAGCCCGAGCCAAGUGACCUUCGUUACCUUCAGCUUCCUGUCAGCCGUUGAUCCAGAAACUUGCCUUCUAGCUCCACUAAACCCCGUUCCAAGUACCCUAAAUUGUUGUUUUCGCGGACAGCCAUGUCCUUCCACUCAUUGAUUAGCUUCUCUUGGGCCUCUAGUAUUUCCUGAUGCUCACUUUCGCACUCUCGCACUCUCGCAUCUGUUUGCGUAGCUGAUUGUACUUGACCUUUGCGGUAGUCUCCUCAUCAAUAACCCUGUGACCAUGGGUGAAACCUAUUUUUCCCAAGCAUAGUUGAUUGUACUUGAUCAUUGCUGCAGUCUUCUCAUCAAUAACCCUGUGACCAUGGAUGAAACCUGUUUUCCCAAGCAAAUAUGAUAGCCUUCUAACCAUUUAUCACACCUCCUUUUUACGCUAUACACCCCCACGAAGGAGCGUAAAGGAGUUUUUCCACUUAAAGGACAAUCGGAACGGGAUUUGGUUAUUGAAGAUUCAGAGUCGCCACUUGGGAGAUUAAUGGUGACCCAAGUCACCGAUUGAAUCCCGAACCGAGGAAAAAAAUGACUUUGUUCACAGUCCGCAAACCAGAAAUCCGGAUAAUGAAUUCUGUUAACCCGGGAAAAGGAGUUAGGCAUUCCCGGGUUCCGUGGUUCUAGCACGUUCGCUCAACCGUUGUAUUUAGCUUUCUGAUUUCAUUACAUGAAGAGUCUAUGUGCCAAUUUUAUGCUUAACCGCUUUUAUUAAAUAUGAUAUUUAUAUAAGAAAGUGAACAUCGUUUAAAAUGUAUUUUCGGAUUGCGCCGCAUCAAAUGAACCUGCAAUCCUAGGCACACUCUAUUCAACGUUUUAGGUUUUGGAUUUAGGCCGCAUAAAAUGCCCACCCGUAUUUAGGAAUGUAAUUUAUUAAAGUCGCGUAUAAUAGAGUCUAAUGCAUUGUAGUCUUUUGGGAGGGACGUGAACUUCGCUAAACGGCCCUUCCCGAUUCUCUAAAUAUUUUUUAAACAUUUAUUGAGGUGGAGGGCUGUGAAAUUCGCUAAACAGUCCUUUCCGGUUUUCUAAAUAUUUUUUACACCUUUAUUGAGGGCCCCACAAUUUGUAAGUUUAUUUGACUCGGCACACCUCGAUUCUAUUUAAAAUGAUAUUUAAACUAGAAACUCGGAAGGCCAUAGAUUAUCUAUUAUCAAAUAAAAAUUUUCUAAUGACCCAACCAUUUGAAAGAGUAGAAAUAAGAAGGCUUAUUCGGAUAAGUGCCGGAUUUACACAUUGUCCAUAUUACUCGGUAAUUGUAGAGCUUAACCAUAUGACUUCUUAAACAAUUCACAAUUGAGCAUGCAAUCAAUGAUAUCAAACAUCACACAAUUUUCAUGAAAUUUUACCAAACAAAAUAUUCAUCUCAGCACGAUUAAUACUUAGCUUAAGCGAAUCAAAAUAAGGACUCUAUAUUCAUAUAGCUCAAAGUAAUCAAAACAGCAAAUAACUUCAGAAAAUAGAAGCAAUAAGAUGACAUUCAAUAUUAAUGAAGUAUCAAUGGGGAAGAUAGGACCUUCAUUGCUGAAAACUCCAAUUCGAUGUACGUCCAAUCUAGCAAUAAAAAGAAAAUAGGACACGGACAGAAAGUUCUUGUCGGAAACCCUCGACGAACGCGUAUCAGAAACCUCGCCAAUGACCAGAAAGUUCUAGUCGGAAACCCUCGACGAACGCGUAUCAGAAACCUCGCCAAUGACGGAGCCUCGAAACCUCACCGUAAACUCGAACAGAGACCACACCUUUGACCGCAAAAUACCUUCAACUAGGCUCACAGUUCCGAUAGCGUAUUAUUAUGAGAAACUUUACAAUUUACUGUUGCAAACAAACUUUUUGAUUUUGGGAAAUUAUUUUCUCCAAUCCAAUGAGAAAGAGAACUGUAUAUGUCGGUCUUUGAGUUCUGCCG
rnacentral:lncRNA from 1 species